CAGGGUUCAGAGGAAAGAUGGAUCCUGAGAGCCCCCUGCACAGCAGGUGAUGCAAUGGUAGGUAAGAAAGAGGAGCAGAAUUUUCAGCAGGAAAAUGUCGAGCAAGUGGAUAAACACAGAGCAUUUUUGCAAAGAUCGAAAAGGAAUGUGUCCAGAAGUCAUGAGCAGGGAAACUCCUUUGAGAUUCAGCACAGACCAGAAAGGGAGCAGGGAAACCAGCCAGGAGAGAGAAUGGGUAAAUAUAUUUUCUGCUGGGGAACUCAGAAGAGCAUCAAAGAAACCACAGCACAGCAGGAAAUCCUCAUGGGAAAGAAGAAAAAUACAUGUUGAGAGUGCAGGAAAAGCUUCUCUAGCAGCUCAAACCUUUCUCAACAUCAGAGAAUCUACACAGGGGAGAGGCCCUUUGAAUGCCGUGAGUGUGAGAAAACUUUCACUUAGAAAUCAGGUCUUGUUGAUCAUAAGAGAAUCCACACAGGUGAGAGGCCCUUUGAAUGCCAUGAGCGUGGGAAAACCUUCCCUCACAGAUCAGACCUUUCUCAACA